UAGGUAGUUACGAAAUUCGGAAAGGAAAUAGAAAAAGAAAUACGAAAGGAGAAAAAGGGAAAAAGGGUUUCCAUGGAAAAGAAGAGCAGCAGAGGAACGCAAAUUAUAAUAACCCUUACCAUUUGAUGGCCGUAAGGCCUCUCCAAUUCUUCGUGUCGCGCCACCACCCUCAUCGCUCCUCGCCGCCCGGCCUCGUCCACCGUCUAGCAUCCCCGCUCGCUCUAAACCACCACCAGAAUAUACACCACUACCGCCAGAAGGAAGAAGGCCAACCGCCGCCUCUGCCGCCGCCGGACCAGCAAUUAACCUCCGUCAGCCGCCGCUCCCUGCUCGAAACCAUGUCGCAGAAGAUCGGGAAAGCGAUUAGGCGGCCUGGAGCCCCGUCGAAGGCGCGGGUCUACUCAGACGUCAAUGUUAUCCGCCCUAAGGAGUAUUGGGACUACGAGUCGCUAACUGUUCAAUGGGGGGAGCAAGAUGAUUACGAGGUGGUCAGGAAGGUGGGUAGGGGGAAAUAUAGCGAGGUUUUUGAGGGUAUUCACGUAACCAAUAACGAGAAAUGCAUCAUCAAAAUCCUCAAACCGGUCAAGAAGAAGAAGAUCAAGAGAGAGAUUAAGAUUUUGCAGAAUCUCUGUGGAGGGCCAAAUAUUGUGAAGUUGCUUGAUAUUGUAAGGGACCAGCAAUCAAAGACCCCAAGUCUUAUAUUUGAACAUGUGAACAAUACAGACUUUAAAGUGCUGUAUCCCACCCUUUCAGACUUUGAUAUUAGAUAUUACAUAUAUGAACUUUUGAAGGCUUUAGACUAUUGCCAUUCUCAAGGUAUCAUGCAUCGGGAUGUGAAGCCCCACAAUGUCAUGAUAGAUCACGAGCAGCGUAAACUCCGCCUCAUUGACUGGGGACUUGCUGAGUUCUACCAUCCAGGGAAAGAGUAUAAUGUUCGUGUUGCUUCUAGAUAUUUUAAAGGCCCUGAACUUCUUGUUGAUUUGCAAGACUAUGAUUACUCCUUAGACUUAUGGAGCUUGGGCUGUAUGUUUGCUGGAAUGAUAUUCCGUAAGGAGCCUUUCUUCUAUGGGCAUGAUAACUACGAUCAACUGGUCAAAAUUGCAAAGGUAUUGGGUACGGAUGAGUUGAAUGCCUAUUUGAACAAGUACCGCUUGGAAUUAGACCAAAAUCUUGCUGCUCUUGUUGGAAGGCAUAGUAGAAAGCCGUGGACAAAAUUUAUCAAUGCUGAUAAUCAACAUUUGGCUGUUCCUGAUGCAAUUGAUUUUGUUGACAAAUUGCUGCGAUAUGAUCAUCAAGAAAGGCCAACUGCGAAGGAAGCAAUGGCCCAUCCUUAUUUUUACCCAAUAAGGAAUGCAGAAAGCCGCAGAAGUCGUGGGCAAUAGGAUUUGAAGGAGGGGUCACCGUGUCAAAUUCGAGAAAUUGUGGUUUCGCCUUUGGAUGGCCUGCCUAUGCCCUUGAUUACCUUCUAAAUCCAUCACGUAUCUUGUUACUGUAGAAGACAUGAGGAUUGUUUUUCUGAUCCCCUUUGACUUCUCGUUUGGGCUUCAUCUUUUCCACUUCAUCUGAAAUUCUUCAAAUUUUACGAGUACAAUAUUCCGGCAACAAAGGGAAUAUACCUCCAUGUUUCUGCCAUGGCAAGGCUGAUUCCGCACCAUUAUUUAUGCUCUGAAUCUGAAGCAAGCCCCAUUUUAAUCUCUGUUUUUGGAUGUUUGUUCGGUUUGAUGUCAAUGGAUGUCUAGACUUUUGUUAUCUCAUAUUUUAGGAAUUUUAAUGAAUUUUCAUAUAAUUACGCCAGAAAAAGCUCAAUUUAGUGUUUUCAUCGCAUAUCAUAAAAUAUAUGUUCGUUAUCUUUAA